GUAAUUUACAUCCUUUUUUAAUUAAUAAAAGGCUAUGUUUAGAGAAGCCUCACCCUGUAUUACCUUUACAGGUGAGUUUAACGCCGACUGACAGUACAAUGAGUUGUAUUUAGUACAAGUUCGCCGUGCAGUUCAGCCUUCUUUAGAUAGGUUUUGCUACAAAAUAAAAUAAAAGGGGAAAACAUCGUUCUGAAUUUUAUGAAUUAUACCGUAAGAGGUGUUUUGUCAUGCCACGGUAAUAAUUCCUUCUCCUUCUAAGUGCUUUUUUUGGCGGCCAUAAAACGUCUUUACGUGCUUGGACUCGGUGUUUUUGUUAUUUUCUUAUAAUUUGGGAUCGUGUUGUUAAUUCAGAGUUAUUAUAUGGUACAGAUCAGUGGUGUUGCACUUUUCAUUACUUCUAGUGGACAGACUCAGCUAUAGGUUUAAAAUUGUUGUUUCGCAUAAUAGGCUCACUAUAUUAAUGAUUCUUGUUAUUAAACUAGUAUUGGGUAAAUAGCAUACUGUCUUAUAAAAAGAAAUACAAUGAAAAACAGAUGCUGCAAAAUUAAACGAUUUUCAGAAUUGUGGGGAUCAGAUACAAAUCAAAAACCACAGAAUCAUCGAGAUUCGAGGUAAUUACUAUACAUGUGUAAGAUAACACUCCAUAUAAAAUUAGUCACAUCUCAAACGACCCAUUAAGGGUUAUUCAUUUUUGUAAAAUACCUUGUACGGAUAUAAUAUGGUAAUUUUACGUGAAUCAACCGACCGUGAUUAAACGUCAUUCAUUUAUUUAUUUAUUUCAUUUAUUGCAUAUAGGUCAGUAAAAAGUACACGGAACUUACUGGGAAUAACGUCAUGCAAAUAAGAUGCGAAUGUUUGGCUACAUCUAGAUCCAUAAAUUUUGUGGGCCAGUAUUUGUGGAGGCAGAUUUGAACGAAUUAGGUGUUUUCUACAGCAAAACGGACAGAUAGUGGUCGUUUACACGUCGUCAAACACCAAUGAAAAGAGACCUUGGAAGACGUCGACAAAUGGCUGGCUCCAACAGAAACAAAUACGGAUUGCAGAAAACCCAAAAUCGCCCUCAUAAGAAUAUAGACGACAAUAGAAACCUAGAUGUAAACAUAAAGACAAAUCACAAAACAAACAUACAAGGAUAAAUAUCUAAUAAGAAAAAUCAAAUACUUAGACCGCAGCCUUCUGGAAAUGCGGACCAAAAGCAUUGAUGUAUGCUACAAGACAAAUACGUAACAAAGAACAUUGAACUGGUUAAAGUUGUAGUCAAUAGUAAUGUGGCCGAGAAAGAAACGACACAGCGAAAAGAGAAUGAUUUCAUUGCCAAAAUGUACUUUCAUGUGAAACAGACUUCCACUGCUUUUUUACCCAUUUGUUAUCACACACUAACUGUGGAACUAUAACUGUAAAAGACGUUCAAUACAAUAUGAAAGAUAGAUCAUUAUAAUUUUGUAUACACUCGUAUUCAGUUGUUCAUUUAAAGUCGAUAGAUGAAGAAAAUACCAUUUGUGUCCGAAGAAUAGACAAUAGAAGGACACUUUUACUGUUUAUCGGAGUAUUGUUUUUCACUGAAGUUCUGGCAGCUUGUUGCUAGGAUUAAAUGGUUGGCUGUUGAAACAGAUAACUGCUAGUCUAGCAGUGUUACAGUGUAUUUCCUAGCAACCAGCUGUUAUUACUUUUACCUUCAUAUAUUUUUACAGUGCAUUUCAUUUGUCACACGGCCCUAAGUCAUUAUGGAAGCAGUACACUAUCUUUGGUGUAACUUCAAAGAACUGACCAUUUACACCAACAAAAAGGCAUAGAAAGGAAGCGGCUGGAAACUGAAGUCUUGAGGUAACCGUUUGUGUCAUUUUACAAACUUGACAAAUGAAAUGACCAUUUAUUGUUAAUAUUAACAGAUAAAAUGUUUUACGGUUAGUCCAGGAUUACAACUCUAUAAAUUCUAAAAAAAGUUGCUAUUUUCACAUGCUUUUCUCGCUAUUGUGAUCUAAUCAAUUGUAAAAAGCUAAAAUUACUUGUAUUUUAUAUAUUUAAUCCUUGUAUAGCCUCAGUAGUUGAUA